CUCAGGAAAAUAUCAAAUUCAUUCCUAAAACAACACAGAACUGUUGUGGAAACUCCCUACUUUAAUCAGUUCAAGAUUUUUUUAUAGAUGUCAACUUCAUGUAUUAUAAUCUGUGCAUUAAAAAAAUGAAACAACAGAUCCCUCCAUUCUUGGAUUGCAUCUAUGGGAUUUUACUUAUUCGUCCCCACAGGCACACCUGGACUCCUAAAAAGGGUGCUUUGUCAGAGGGAAGGGAUUUUCUUUUUCCUCCCCCUGAGAACAACAGGGAUAACAAAGUGAAGGAUAGAGACUCAAACUUGGACAAGGAAACCUAUGACUCAGCAUCGUAAGAAAAAGCCAAGGGAAAGAAAGGGGAGGGAAGAUCAGAGCAGAACACCGCCUACACUGCCAUCAUUUCCUCCCAACAGGCCAGCCACAGAGAGGAAAAGGACCAAAACUGGUGCCCACAUUGGCUUCAGUGCUUCAGACUGGCUUAAGAGAAACAGACCAGAAUUAACUUCAUUUAUCUAAUUGAUCUGACUUACAUGUGACCCUAGCAUGACCACAUCCACUCAGUGCCAUCAUUCUCUCACGUGUUUAGCGAUAAAGGCAAUAAAUUUAAAUCAAGACAUAUCAAGAAACCGCAAUUAUGAUAUUAUAUCCCAGGUAAUUCCUAAAACCAGAACACAGGUGUUUAAAUGAUGCAUUAUUUUAAUUAGCUCUCAGCAUUUGUCCCUGGCCACACAACUCCUGUGGUGGAGACCACAGCAGCUUUGCAGAGCUAAGUUUACAGACAACCAUGUUCUGGGUUUCCUCCCAUCUAGAACAAGUUCAUCAGCUUGUUCCAAAAUAAAAUAUAUCCUUUCAGGAAAAUAUCCCUACUCGGAUUAAUUACUUGAAGCAAAGCACAAACAGUUAUGGCAUGCAUGAUUUUAAUGGAAAUGCUUGUAAAAUUGGAGCAACUUUAUGGAUGGGGGAU